rnacentral:rRNA from 1 species
UACGUAGGGUGCAAGCGUUAAUCGGAAUUACUGGGCGUAAAGCGUGCGCAGGCGGUGAUGUAAGACAGGUGUGAAAUCCCCGGGCUUAACCUGGGAACUGCAUUUGUGACUGCAUCGCUGGAGUGCGGCAGAGGGGAUGGAAUUCCGCGUGUAGCAGUGAAAUGCGUAGAUAUGCGGAGGAACACCGAUGGCGAAGGCAAUCCCUGGGCCUGCACUGACGCUCAUGCACGAAGCGUGGGAGCAACAGG